AUUGAACGCUGGCGGCAGGCCUAACACAUGCAAGUCGAGCGGUUGACGGGAGCUUGCUCCCUGAUUCAGCGGCGGACGGGUGAGUAAUGCCUAGGAAUCUGCCUAUUAGUGGGGGACAACGUUUCGAAAGGAACGCUAAUACCGCAUACGUCCUACGGGAGAAAGCAGGGGACCUUCGGGCCUUGCGCUAAUAGAUGAGCCUAGGUCGGAUUAGCUUGUUGGUGAGGUAAUGGCUCACCAAGGCGACGAUCCGUAACUGGUCUGAGAGGAUGAUCAGUCACACGGGAACUGGGACACGGUCCAGACUCCUACGGGAGGCAGCAGUGGGGAAUAUUGGACAAUGGGCGAAAGCCUGAUCCAGCCAUGCCGCGUGUGUGAAGAAGGUCUUCGGAUUGUAAAGCACUUUAAGUUGGGAGGAAGGGUUGUAGAUUAAUACUCUGCAAUUUUGACGUUACCGACAGAAUAAGCACCGGCUAACUCUGUGCCAGCCGCCGCCGUAAGAC
rnacentral:rRNA from 1 species